rnacentral:lncRNA from 1 species
AAGCAGAGCCUGUGACUGGACUGAAGCCAAUGUUCUUUAAAAGUUCACAUGCCUUGUAUUGGCUCUCUAAUUCAGACUCCUUCUGACCAAACAAAGGGGGAGGGGGAAUGAAAAAUAGUAGCAGCUGUUUCAGUAAAAAAUUCUAAGGGUUAACAUAACAUGAUGUAAACUAUUUCUUGUGUUCUUCCUACUUGCCCAUUUUAAUCAGAAACGAGUAAGAAGAGCCUUAUAUGCAGUGAACUUGAAGAAUGCUAAUGGGAUGUCUGCAUCGCGUUGUACUUGGAGUACUUAUGCCAGAAUAGGAAAGCCUUUUAUUCUGUAAUUCUCUGAGGCAAGAACGAGGCUUUCUGAAGAGUUACUUUAAAUUUAAACUCUCAUUCUAAUGUUAGACAGCCUGUUGGAUCUCUGAGUUAAAAAUUGCUUCAGCUUUAGUUACUAGAGCCAGAUGUAACAUUGACCUUAAAUGGUAAAAGCUCCCAAGAGUGAAAGAGAGGCUGGCCUGAGAGGAAAAAGAGGAAUAACUGAAGUUUUAGGAAGCUCCUGCCUACAGCAUUCCAACCAUCAGCCUACUGAAUUUUCACUGCCCUUCCUUCACAGGGCACUCUGACCAUGAGAGUUCCAGACCUUAAAUUCCUCUGAUAGGUAAUAUCUAGCUUUCUGGUUACAUUUUUAAUUUUACUUCUGUUAUUUGAAACAU